GAUUACGUAGAUUACUGGCCAAAGCAUUGGUAUGUAAGGCCAAAGGUCUCGGGUUCGAUUCCCGGCGAGGGUA
rnacentral:tRNA from 1 species